UAUUCAGAAAUCAAUCAAAAUAAAUUUAAUUGUAUUCACAUGAUGGCUCUUGAGUUAUGGUUCCAUCAGGAAAUUCAAAUUAAGCCAUUACUAUUAGUGUCACUCUAUAUGGUAUCGUAUUAAUGGGCUUCCUAUUUUGUGCCACAUAAGCCAAAAUGGACAUCCAAAAGAAGAGGCAAGAAGCAAUAGGAUUACCGUUAGCUUUAGAUCCGGCCAUCUUUUUCUGAUUUAGAGUUGAGCCUAUCGGCUCACUUCCUUCUCUCUCUCCCAUGUAAAUGAGUUUGGGUUGUUUCUUUCGUGACAAAGAAUGAUCGAUCUUCUUUUGCACCAAUGGAUUAUAUCCUACACAAACUUUUUCAUUCUUCUAUUUGUAUAGAUCUCAAAACGAUCAUUAUACGAUCCAACAAUAAAUUCGUGCGGAGGAGGGUGAGUUCUUCUUUCGUAUGAAAGAUACAAUUCCUAUCGGUGCUGGAUUAGCAUC
rnacentral:lncRNA from 1 species